GAUGAACGCUGGCGGCGUGCCUAAUACAUGCAAGUCGAGCGAACGGACGAGAAGCUUGCUUCUCUGAUGUUAGCGGCGGACGGGUGAGUAACACGUGGAUAACCUACCUAUAAGACUGGGAUAACUUCGGGAAACCGGAGCUAAUACCGGAUAAUAUUUUGAACCGCAUGGUUCAAAAGUGAAAGACGGUCUUGCUGUCACUUAUAGAUGGAUCCGCGCUGCAUUAGCUAGUUGGUAAGGUAACGGCUUACCAAGGCAACGAUGCAUAGCCGACCUGAGAGGGUGAUCGGCCACACUGGAACUGAGACACGGUCCAGACUCCUACGGGAGGCAGAAGUAGGGAAUCUUCCGCAAUGGGCGAAAGCCUGACGGAGCAACGCGGCGUGAGUGAUGAAGGUCUUCGGAUCGUAAAACUCUGUUAUUAGGGAAGAACAUAUGUGUAAGUAACUGUGCACAUCUUGACGGUACCUAAGCAGAAAGCCACGGCUACCUACGU
rnacentral:rRNA from 1 species